rnacentral:tRNA from 1 species
UCCUUGGUGGUCCAGUGGCAAAGACUCUGUACUCCCAAUGCAGGAGUCCCAGGUUCAAUCCCUGAUCAGAGAG